CCCGCUGAACUUAAGCAUAUCAAUAAGCGGAGGAAAAGAAGCCAACAGGGAUUGCGUCAGUAACGGCGCGUGAAGCGGCAACAGCUCAAAUUUGAAAUCUGGCUCUUUCAGGGUCCGAGUUGUAAUUUAUAGAAGAUGCUUCGGGUGUGGCUCCGGUCUAAGUUCCUUGGAACAGGACGUCAUAGAGGGUGAGAGUCCCGUACGUGACUGGUUGCCUUCACCCAUGUGAAGCUCUUUCGACGAGUCGAGUUGUUUGGGAAUGCAGCUCAAAAUGGGUGGUAAACUUCAUCUCAAGCUACAUAUUGGCCAGAGUCCGAUAGCGUACAAGUAGAGUGAUCGAAAGAUGAAAAGCACUUUGGAAAGAGAGUUAAACAGUACGUGAAAUUGUUGAAAGGGAAGCGCUUGCAACCAGACUUGCGCGCUGCUGAUCAUCCGGGGUUCUCUCCGGUGCACUCGGUUGCGCUCAGGCGAGCAUCGACUUGGGUGGUUGGAUAAAGGCUGUCGGAAUGUAGCUUCUCUCGAGGAGUGUUAUAGCCCACGGUGCAAUGCAUCCUACCCGGACCGAGGACCGCGCUUCGGCUACGAUGCUGGCAUAAUGAUUGUAAGCGACCCGUCUUGAAACACGG
rnacentral:rRNA from 1 species